rnacentral:rRNA from 1 species
UACGAAGGGGGCUAGCGUUGUUCGGAAUUACUGGGCGUAAAGCGCGCGCAGGCGGCUAUCCAAGUCAGUGGUGAAAGCCCGGAGCUCAACUCCAGAACUGCCUUUGAUACUGGCGAUCUCGAGUCCGGGAGAGGUGAGUGGAACUGCGAGUGUAGAGGUGAAAUUCGUAGAUAUUCGCAAGAACACCAGUGGCGAAGGCGGCUGACUGGUCCGGUUCUGACGCUGAGGCGCGAAAGCGUGGGGAGCAAACAGG